rnacentral:rRNA from 1 species
GUGAGGAAUUUUCCGCAAUGGGCGAAAGCCUGACGGAGCAAUGCCGCGUGAAGGAUGAAGGCCUAUGGGUUGUAAACUUCUUUUCUCAGAAAAGAAUUAUGACGGUAUCUGAGGAAUAAGCAUCGGCUAACUCUGUGCCAGCAGCCGCGGUAAGACAGAGGAUGCAAGCGUUAUCCGGAAUGAUUGGGCGUAAAGCGUCUGUAGGUUGUUUAAAAAGUAUUCUGUCAAAGAUUAGGGCUUAACCCUAGAUAGGCAGAAUAAACUUUUAAGCUAGAGUUUGGUAGAGGCAGAGGGAAUUCCCGGUGGAGCGGUGAAAUGCGUAGAUAUCGGGAGGAACACCAAAGGCGAAGGCACUCUGCUGGGCCAAUACUAACACUGAGAGACGAAAGCGAGGGGAGCAAAUGGGAUUAGAUACCCCUGUAG